AUUGAACGCUGGCGGCAGGCCUAACACAUGCAAGUCGAGCGGAGCGGCAGACGGGUGCGUAAUGCCUAGGAAUCUGCAUGGUCGUGGGGGAUGACGUCCGGAAACGGGCGCUACUACCGCAUACUCUCGGAUGAGCCUGUGUCGGAUUAGCUAGUUGGUGGGGUAAGGGCCUACCAAGGCGAAGAUCCGUAACUGGUCUGAGAGGAUGAUCAGUCACACUGGAACUGAGACACGGUCAAGACUCCUACGGGAGGCAGCAGUGGGGAAUAUUGGACAAUGGGCGAAAGCCUGAUACAGCCAUGCCGCGUGUGUGAAGAAGGUCUUCGGAUUGUAAAGCACUUUAAGUUGGGAGGCGUUACCAACAGAAGAAGCACCGGCUAACUUCGUGCCAGCAGCCGCGGUAAUAC
rnacentral:rRNA from 1 species